GGCCGUGUGGCGAAAUGGCAUCGCGUCUGACUACGAAUCAGGAGAUCGCAGGUUCGACCCCUGUCUCGGUCA
rfam:Hypholoma sublateritium FD-334 SS-4 unplaced genomic scaffold scaffold_225, whole genome shotgun sequence.